AAUGCUGAAAGUAGGAAACACCAAAAAAUUGCACAUACUUCUGGAUCAAAGAGCUUUGCUAGGAGAAGGGCUGAGAUGGAAAUUGAGCUCGGGCACACUGUUAAUCGCUCAGAACUAUGGAUGGAUACCCACAAAGUAAAAAGAGGGUCAUCUGUUAAUGAAGAAUGUAGAAUUAUCACUGAAAAGAUCAGAAAUGAAAUGGAUCAAUGCUCA